rnacentral:rRNA from 1 species
GACGAACGCUGGCGGCGUGCUUAACACAUGCAAGUCGAACGAUGAAGCACAGCUUGUUGGGUGGAUUAGUGGCGGACGGGUGAGUAACACUUACGCAACGUGACCGUAACCCUGGAAUAACUACCGGAAACGGUGGCUAAUACUGGUUACGUGUCAGGGCGGCACCCCCCCUGGUUGGAAAGAUUAUUCGGUUUCGGAUCGGUUCACGGCCUCUCAGCUUGUUGGUGGGGUCAUGGCCUACCAAGGCGACGACGGGGAGCCGGCCUGGGAGGGUGACCGGCCACACAGGGACUGAGGCACGAGCCGGAGGCCUACGGGAGGCAGCAGUGGGAGAUUGUGGGCGAUGGGCGCAGGCCGGGUGGAGCGACGCCGCGUGGGGGAGGUCGGCCUUCGGGUUGUAAACCUCUUUUAGUGAGCAAGAAGCGCGAUUGACGGUACCUGCAGAGAAAGCACCGGCUAACUACGUG